UCCAUGGAAGGAUUAGACUAAAAUUUAAAAAACUGUGAGCCUGUAAUUGUUUGUCGUCAUAAUUUAUUCAGUAAGCAAUCAUAUCCACAACCUCGGUACGUAAUUUAUUUAGUAUUUUCUAACUUUAUAAUAAAGUGCCUUUUGUUUGCUUCUUAACCUACGCAUUGCACUUUCUCUCCUUUCUUUUCUUUUCUUUUUUCAUCCCAAAUCACGUGACCCCU
rnacentral:lncRNA from 1 species